GCCGGAGUGGUGAAAUUGGUAGACGCAGCGGACUCAAAAUCCGCCGCCGCAAGGCGUGCCGGUUCGAUUCCGGCCUCCGGCACCA
rnacentral:tRNA from 9 species